CCACUGACAGCGCGUGGAGCAACCCCAAAGCAGUUCACUGGGCUUGGGAGGCCAAAGUUCUCCAAAGAGCUGGAGAACGUCAGAGUCCUGACUACUUCUGAGAACAUGCCAUCAGAAGAAAGACUGGAAGGAAGAUACAUCUUUCAAGGGUCACAGUCCUAGUGUUCCUGAGAUGCUCCAAGCUACGUGCAUUGUCUGAGGAGCCUAAACAAACACCCCAGAGAACAGAGGUUAGCACCGUGGGCUGUCUACCUUCCUGCUCUAAUCUUUACAAUGGUGCCAUUCUUCACCUUUUCUUUCUCUCUUGAACAAUCACUGGCUUAAAUUGUACCUGUUCCAGCAAGACAGGUUUGCAGGUUUCAUAAGCCUUCAUGACAGUAAG
rnacentral:lncRNA from 1 species